UACGGGGGGGGCAAGCGUUGUUCGGAUUCAUUGGGCGUAAAGGGUGCGUAGGCGGCGAGGUAAGUCGGAUGUGAAAUCCCGGGGCUCAACCCCGGAACUGCAUUCGAUACUGCUUUGCUUGAGUACUGGAGAGGAGACUGGAAUUUACGGUGUAGCAGUGAAAUGCGUAGAUAUCGUAAGGAAGACCAGUGGCGAAGGCGAGUCUCUGGACAGUUACUGACGCUGAGGCACGAAGGCCAGGGGAGCAAACGGG
rnacentral:rRNA from 1 species